ensembl:lncRNA
UCAUACAAAAAAGCUGUUAUGAAAAGACAAAUUAUAAAUAAUUGUCAUUUUCUUUUGAUAUCUAUUGUUUUUAUCAAUGAUUCUGGUGGUUUUUAUGCUCAUAAUAUUUUUAUUUUUUUUUAACUCAGGAAAGUUAUUAUCGCCCUUCUUUCCAGCCAUUCAAAUCUUUGACGCACACAGCGGUUAAUGCAGUUCUGGUCCUGGCCUUUCUGCCGCCCUUACAAGAAUAGUCACUGUGAGUAAAAUGAAGGUGGCACUUUAGGAGGCGGAGUCAAAGUGGUUUUCCAAGACAUUUCUGAUUCAUCCAAAGAAAUGUCGGCACGCGCAAAUUCAUUCUCUGAGGGAGAGAGCGCAAAGAUGGAGAACUGGAGGUAAACUUUGUUCUCUUGCUACUACUGUAACACAUUUUGUUAGCCCAUGUUGAUGCUAUUCAGAGUUAUUGACCUCACAGUAAACCAGAUUAGAAUAAUUUACUUUUCAACAUGUUGACUCAAAGCUGUACUGACAGAUAACAUUAAACUAUAUCAAAUCAAAUUGUAUUUGUCACAUACAUGUGUUUAGCGAAAUGCUUGUGUUUAUAGCACCAACAGUGCAGUAAUAUCUAACAAUACACACAAUCUAAAGUCAAGGAAUGGAAUUAAGAAUAUAUAAAUAUUUGGAUGAGCAAUGUCAAAGCGGAACGUUAGGGACUACAAAGUCCAGCAAGCAGUGCUGCUAACAUUAGCUACAUAGCCAAUUUUAUGAGCAGGGUUUUGACAGUAAUUCAUUAGCUAUCUGGACACUGAAUCCAACUUUUGGAGCACUGUUCACCAUUCGACAAGUAUCACUGACUAACCAACAAGUAUCACUGACUAACCAACACGUAUCACUAACUAACCAACAAGUAUCACUAACUAACCAACAAGUAUCACUGACUAACCAACAAGUAUCACUAACUAACCAACAAGUAUCACUAACUAACCAACACGUAUCACUAACUAACCAACACGUAUCACUAACUAACCAACAAGUAUCACUAACUAACCAACACGUAUCACUAACUAACCAACAAGUAUCACUAACUACCCCCCACCCCCCACACUCUCUCUACAGUUGUAUUCCAUGCCUUCUGCUAAUCUGAGUUUAUUCAAUUCCAACAUAAUCAAGGUUGGCAGUCUACAAUCCCAAUCCUGCUGUAUUGCACAUAACUACAACAUUAUUUAAUGCAAAACAUUAAUUUAUGGUCUAGGCUGCCACCCUUUGGAUUGUUUUGGAACUGCACCGUGCCCUCAGCAUUGACCAGCUGACGUUAGUUAGCAGUGAUGUGACCAACAUCAACAUGAAGCUUUUCUUUAUAUUGCCAAUGAAAUAUUGGACAUGGUUUAUGAAAACAUUGCAACAAAAUUAUACAAA